ensembl:lncRNA
AGAGGCAUAGCAGAAAUGUUGAGGAGGACUUCAAAAUCCGUUCCUCUGCUUGCUUUGUGCCAAUUCCUGUUUUUGGAUUCAGGGGACAACCCUUAGGGUGAAGUUGUCAUGAAUUCAGCUACUCAGUUGUCAUCUUCACUGGAGCUGGUUGAGUCAUUCCCACAUGUUACUCCCUGAUGCAGCACUGCCUAAUCUUACGGUUAGGCUUAGGGUAUAUGCUUGCCAAUUGAAGAUGAAAUGCCUACAUGAAUGUGCCAUAGUGUGAACAGCAGAAUCUUCCUGUAGUAAAGUCUGAAUACUUUGCGGGUGAUUCCUUUAUAUUAACCCUUAAGAGGAAAAGUAAAUAAUUAGUGGUGCCAUUAGUUGGCCCAGGGGAGGGGACCCUAACAAAAUAUUCCAGUCAGUUGUUCACAUCUGGCAAUUCUGUUUUCACUGGCAGAAGACAAUUAUCAUCCCAUGAGAGUGCAGCCAGGCUGUAAGUAGUAACUGUUGUGUAGCUUUUUCCAUGACUGGUUUUAGCAUAGAGGUAAUUAAUUUUAGUCACUGUAAUUAUAUUAUGCUCAUAGACUCUUUGCAAUAGGGAAAGUCCUUUUAUAUGUAUGUAUUCCGGUACUCAGUUCCAAUAGUAGCACCAAUACAGAGAGCACUUCAUAGUGUCAAGUGCUCUCUAAGUUCUUGUUUUACCUGUGUUCAUCUCUAAGCAUGUGGCAACUUCGUAGUUAAAACUUUGAAUCAUUUAGUUUUGUCUCUAUCCCAAAACUGCUAAGAGGGUAAUGCUAUAAGGAUGAGAAAAUCCCAAUAUACACCUCAAGCUUUCAUCAAUCUUCAUAAAUGGCAGCUGAUCAGUAGGUAAAGGGGCUGUAUUUUGAGAGGGGUGAGAAGCAGGUUUAAAAGAAAUAAAAUACUGACAGUAUGCUAAAUAGAGUUGUAAACAGUUCUCUUGCCUUCCCUUCCCCACCACGUUAUCUGGCUUCCAUUAAACUGAAAUGCU